AUAUAAUAACAUCAUAAACAUGCAUUACACUUCAGUGAAGCUGCCCAGAGUUUAGCGGCAUGAAUAAUACUGUACAUACAGCAGUGAAGCAGACGAGGAUCCUCCAGUCCACUGAGU